UACGAAGGGUGCUAGCGUUGUUCGGAAUUACUGGGCGUAAAGCGCGCGUAGGCGGCUUUUCAAGUCAGGGGUGAAAUCCCACAGCUCAACUGUGGAAUUGCCUUUGAAACUGUAAAGCUUGAGUGUCGGAGGGGAUAGCGGAAUUGCUAAUGUAGAGGUGAAAUUCGUAGAUAUUAGCAGGAACACCGGUGGCGAAGGCGGCUAUCUGGACGACAACUGACGCUGAGGCGCGAAAGCGUGGGUAGCAAACAGG
rnacentral:rRNA from 1 species